rnacentral:rRNA from 1 species
AGUGAACGCUGGCGGUAGGCCUAACACAUGCAAGUCGAACGGCAGCACAGAGGAGCUCGCUCCUUGGGUGGCGAGUGGCGGACGGGUGAGGAAUACAUCGGAAUCUACUCUGUCGUGGGGGAUAACGUAGGGAAACUUACGCUAAUACCGCAUACGACCUACGGGUGAAAGCAGGGGACCUUCGGGCCUUGCGCGAUUGAAUGAGCCGAUGUCGGAUUAGCUAGUUGGCGGGGUAAAGGCCCACCAAGGCGACGAUCCGUAGCUGGUCUGAGAGGAUGAUCAGCCACACUGGAAAUGAGACACGGUCCAGCCUCCUACGGGAGUCAGCAGUGGGGAAUAUUGGACAAUGGGCGCAAGCCUGAUCCAGCCAUACCGCGUGGGUGAAGAAGGCCUUCGGGUUGUAAAGCCCUUUUGUUGGGAAAGAAAUCCAGCUGGCUAAUACCCGGUUGGGAUGACGGUACCCAAAGAAUAAGCACCGGCUAACUUCGUGCCAGCCGCCGCCGUAA